rnacentral:rRNA from 1 species
GAUGAACGCUAGCGGCAGGCCUAAUACAUGCAAGUCGAACGAUACUUUCCAGCUUGCUGGAAAGGAAAGUGGCGCACGGGUGCGUAACGCGUAUGCAACCUACCUUAAUCAGGGGGAUAGCCCGAAGAAAUUCGGAUUAACACCGCAUAAAAUCACAGUACAGCAUUGUACAAUGAUCAAAUAUUUAUAGGAUUAAGAUGGGCAUGCGUGACAUUAGCUAGUUGGCGGGGUAACGGCCCACCAAGGCGACGAUGUCUAGGGGAUCUGAGAGGAUGACCCCCCACACUGGUACUGAGACACGGACCAGACUCCUACGGGAGGCAGCAGUAAGGAAUAUUGGUCAAUGGAGGCAACUCUGAACCAGCCAUGCCGCGUGCAGGAAGACAGCCCUCUGGGUCGUAAACUGCUUUUAUUCGGGAAUAAACCUACUUACGUGUAAGUAGCUGAAUGUACCGAAGGAAUAAGAAUCGGCCAACUCCGUGCCAGCCGCCGCCGUAA